AUUAGAGUCUAAAAGAGAUCUUCCCAGAUCUCCACACUCCGGAGGACUUCAGUCUCCAGCCCAGCCCGUGCCAAGAUUGUGCUCCGAUUCAAUUCACCACUUUAUUUCUUCUCUGAAACACAUGGGAGCCACUGCAUCUCCUCUCACUCCCCUGAGGGAUUUGGGGGGGGGGGGGGGGUUAGCGUUUUUUAAAACAAAGAUGAAUGUGCUUGUCUCUCUGUGUAUGGGCUUGAAUGUGGAGAGCUGAGUAGAUAACGUGGCUUGGAUCUGGCUAAAUGUUGAACAAAGAAUUACCCAGUUCAUCAAAGGAAGUGGCUGUUCCCUUGCCUGAAAUCAGUUGCCUGCACCUUCCUGCUCUGAAAUGGAAUAACUAUGCCCUGAUGCCCUGAGUUGACACAACAUGCCAUCUGGAUAUACACUGGAAAUCCCUCGGGCAGGCAGGUUAUGAAAAGGAAGAUAUUUAUUUUCUGCUUUUUUUUCAUGCUAAACAAAACUUUGGUUGCCAAAUAAUCACUCAGAUAAUACAAAGAAUUGUGUGUAAAGAGAGAGUUUCCUUCACAUCCACUAAUUCCUAUUUCUGUGGGAAAGAUUUGCAAGGGGAAUGGGACAGAACUUCUUCGUUCAACAAACUUCUAACAAAUGUCACAGAGUUCACACUUUCAACAUUUUAAUGGCACGAAGGCCAUGCCAACCAUCCUUGAGCUCCAGCUGUGCUAAAUGGAUGUAGGAUAGUAAGGAAAUAUUUAAAAUCCAUGUUCAUGGGAAAUACAAUUUAUUUUUGCUUUUUUUAAUAGGUAGACGCCAAAUGGCAAUGGCAAGACUUAAAAUUAGAGGAGAUACGCUCUGAUUUAUGGAGAUACACAACAUUAUCCACCAAAUACUGCAGAGUGGUAAGAGAACACUGGGCAGUGGGGAAUGAAGCUCCUACUCCUGUAUCUCCCACUGUCCUACUUGAUCUGGGAAUUCAUCUGAGCACCAUCAAUAAUCUGUGAUAUAUUUAGAAAACCUCAUUAAACAUUUGACCAAAUGUGCUUUCUCAAACACCCGUUUGGCUGCUGUCUGAGCAGAGCAGACCCUGGGUCAGAGAGCUUGAGAGAAGGGAAUUUUUCCUCAUUUAUUUUUAGUUUCAUUUCCUAGGGAAGUAAGCCAUCUGUGAUCUGUUUCCCUCUGGAAAGUUUUGAAGCUGCUCUGAAGUUUAAGUUUUCAGAGCCUCAGAGAUACUCAAUACCUCCAGUUUUUGUGGAAGUAAAAAGAGACCCUGGAACAGGAUAAGAGAAAAACCAUGGGAAUCCAGGCUGUGUGAACUUGUGCCCCAUCCUUUCAAGCAGCAGUGAGAGUGGAAGGGGCAGUGUGAGCCUGCAUUGCUGCUCAGGUGGUUGUCUACUCAAAGUACCCAGCACACUUCUGCUUGUACCACUUAAUCCAUCCACAACCAGAUUUCUUUAUCCCAGGAUUAGGUAGGGAAGAGGAGGCUUCACCAGGAUACUUGUAAGAGUCUGUGCCCAGGCUGCCCUUAAUGUAAGAUCUUGGUUGUAUUUCCUCUUGGAAGAGGAAAUAAAGAGCUCAUUAGUGGCAUUUACAGAGUGUUAAACUGGGAGAGAUCAAAAGCUGUGCUGGAGUAGAAACAUAAACUGCCUGAAAAUGAUAAACAUGAGCAGAAAUAGAUGGAAGCUCAGUUGGGAAGACUGUGAGUCCUCCUCUGAGGAGAUUGAACUUCAUGCACCCAUCUACUAAAAUGAAGAACUCUGAAGGUAAAUAAUUUCAGAAGACAAAGAAUAAAGGCAAAAGGGAAGCUGACACCAAAUACCACCAGGCUGUAGAAAGGCUGUAGAAAGGUUAGGACAGUGCUGUGGAUCUGUGAAGGAAAUAAUAUAAAUGUGAGGGAUGUAGCAAAGGCUGCAGGCAUUUGGAGAGUCCUCACUCCUCCUUUCCUCUCCUGGUUUCUCAUUCAUCCAACAGAAUUUGGGCACUGGGCAGACAAGGCUACUCUUUUUCUGAGAACAGCAACAUCCUCUCUCUUGCCAUACAUGUCUAGAGAAGAUCCCUCUGCUUGUGCAGUUCACAUUACACAUGGAGUUCCUUGUCCUUAAACACAUUAUUUGGCAAAAGAAGCAGAGAUUUGGCCCUUCGCGAGUGUGACUUGUUCCCCAUAGCUGCCAGGAGGUGGCUCUCUGCAUUUGCAGUCCCUGUUUACUGUUUUGUUUAUGGAAUUAAGUUGGACACGUUUUCCGUGGAAAAUGUUUUCAGUGUGUUUGCCUUGAGGAAGUUUACGUAAGGAGAACGAGGAAGCCAUGGGCUGAGUAAAUGGUUUGCUAAAAAACAAGGCACAGAGCGGUUCACUUUUGUCAGAAUGUUUUAUGGCUACAAUCCAAAGGGAUUUUUCUUGUGCAGGACCUAAUCUUUUCAUUGUAAGAUUACGUAUAUCAGGCUCAAGGAGUUACAUCUCUGUUUGUGGGAUGCAUUUACCAGAUUUGAUUAUAGCUGAGUAAAAGUCAUUCU